rnacentral:piRNA from 1 species
UGGUCAAAAAUCAUCAGUACAUGUGCCAUC